GACGUAGGGGGCGAGCGUUGUCCGGAUUUAUUGGGCGUAAAGGGCGCGUAGGCGGCCUCUGCAAGUCAACUGUGAAAUCUCCGGGCUUAACCCGGAACGGUCAGCCGAUACUGCAGGGCUAGAGUGCAGAAGGGGCAACUGGAAUUCUCGGUGUAGCGGUGAAAUGCGUAGAUAUCGAGAGGAACACCUGCGGCGAAGGCGGGUUGCUGGGCUGACACUGACGCUGAGGCGCGAAAGCUAGGGGAGCGAACGGG
rnacentral:rRNA from 1 species